CUACGUGCCAGCAGCCGCGGUAAUACGUAGGGCGCGAGCGUUGUCCGGAAUUAUUGGGCGUAAAGAGCUUGUAGGCGGUUUGUCGCGUCUGCUGUGAAAGGCCGGGGCUUAACUCCGUGUAUUGCAGUGGGUACGGGCAGACUAGAGUGCAGUAGGGGAGACUGGAAUUCCUGGUGUAGCGGUGGAAUGCGCAGAUAUCAGGAGGAACACCGAUGGCGAAGGCAGGUCUCUGGGCUGUAACUGACGCUGAGAAGCGAAAGCAUGGGGAGCGAACAGGAUUAGAUACCCUGGUAGUCCAUGCCGUAAACGUUGGGCACUAGGUGUGGGGGACAUUCCACGUUUUCCGCGCCGUAGCUAACGCAUUAAGUGCCCCGCCUGGGGAGUACGGCCGCAAGGCUAAAACUCAAAGAAAUUGACGGGGGCCCGCACAAGCGGCGGAGCAUGCGGAUUAAUUCGAUGCAACGCGAAGAACCCUACCAAGGCUUGACAU
rnacentral:rRNA from 1 species